GAUUCGCGGUUCACAGCGGUUCAGUUCGGGUUUCUGGCUGUGGGAGGUUACUGCCGCACGGUCAACCUUUACAACAAGCUGUUUCUCCCGUAUCCUUCUCCUCUGCCUCUCCGUUGCCGCCCAUUCACUCCACCCUCUACGAUAAGCGCCUUCGUUAGCAGCAGGAGGGGAAGGAAGUGGCAUGGCAGCAGGUCCCGCGAGGAAUGGCGAGGCGUAGGAAGUGAGCACCAUGGUGCGGUGAUGAUGCAGCCUCAGCCUUCCCUCUGGUGCCGUGAUACCUACAAGAGUCUGUGCGCCUUCAUCAGUAGCGGCAAGAUGUCCACCUUCCCUGCCACACUGAUGCGCUCUCUGGUGGCCUGGCGGGGCAAGGCGAGGCGGGACGGGAGGCCUUGCUGUGUGGACGACGCCUCCUCACCCACCAUGGCCAGGUACCUGCAGGAGUUACUGGGCACCAAGACGGAUUGCGAGGGAGGGGACGCCAAGAAUGCCAGCCCGCCAGACACCAACGCUGAUGUCUGCUUCAUGGUAGAAAGUCCUUACAGGGUGCUCAAGGUGGCCGCCAAGGGGGAUGUGGAGCAGCUGAGGAAGAUUUGCCUAGAUGAUCCCACCAAACUAACCCUGAAAGACCGACGAGGAUGGACGGUUGCUCACCACGCCGCCGCCCACGACCGCCCGCACGCCCUCGUCUUCCUUCACAACCAAGGCGCCGACUUGGAGGCAAAGGAUGACAAUGGUGACACUCCCUUUCAUGUGGCAGUCCUCAAGGAAGCUUUGGAGGCUUUGGACACUCUGCUCGACUGUGGAGUCAACACCAGCAUCACUAACUUGCAAGGAGAUGCACCCAUUCAUGCAGCUGUUAACAACAACAAGACAGGCGUGGUGGAUCUCCUGACACGGCGUCACCAACACGUGGAUAUAUUCCAGAAAGACUCCAGAGGCCGAACACCCCUCCACCUUGCAGCACACUAUGACUUCGCCCAGUGUGCCAAGGCCAUGUUGGAGAGCCCAGGCUUCACCAGGUGUCCAAAUGAAGCAUGCAAUUAUGGCUACCAUCCCAUCCACCUGGCAGCGCGCAAUGCCUCCAUAGGGGUGCUGGAGGCGCUACUCAAAUUUGCCGACAGUCGAGGAUGUAUCAGGGAGAGGAUGAUCACAAUACCUGACCUGGAGGGGAAUGUACCACUGCACCUGGCUGUUCAUGGGGGGGAAAUCAAGGCGGUGGAGCUGUGCCUGCGGAAUGGUGCCCUCAUUUCCACGCAGCAGCAUGACUCCUCCACUCCAGUCCACCUCGCUUGCUCCCAAGGCUCCUAUGAUAUCGUCAAGCUCAUGUUCACUCUGCAGCCCCAGGAGAAGAAGAAGGCACUGGCCACCCAGGACGCCCAGGGCAUGAGUCCCCUCCACUGUGCUGCAAUGUUUGACCACCCACAGCUAGUGGCUUACCUUCUGGAUGAGGGUGCAGACAUAGACAUGGUGGACAAGGAUCACAGGUCACCGCUUCUCCUGGCAGCUGCUCACCGAGGUUGGCGGAGCAUUGAUGUGCUGCUGUCUCGUGGCGCUGACCUCACCAUCAGAGACUCAAACCACAAGAAUAUUCUGCAUGUGGUGGUGAUGUCUGGGGGGUGUCUCAUUGAGCUCCUCUCUCUCAGCCAGGCACAAGAGUCUUGGUGGAAGUCGAGGAUUGCCCACAUGCUGAAUGAACAAGACUCGCUGGGCUGGUCUCCCCUGCACCACGCCUCCAGAGCCGGCCAGAUCAGUUCCCUUGCCUAUCUGCUGCGACUCGGGGCAUCCGUCAGAACCAAGGACAAGAGGGAUGAGAGUCCUUUGCAUUUUGCUGCCAAAUACGGACGGUACAAUACAGUGCGGCAGCUGGUGGAGUCCCUGAAUGGCUUCCUGAUUCUGAAUGAGUGCAAUGAUGAGGGAAAGACAGCACUGCACAUUGCCAGUGGGGAAGGACACACUCGCGUGGUCCGGCUGCUCCUGGGGAAGGGUGCACUGCUCCACCGUGACCACCAGGGCCGCACUCCCCUCCACCUGGCCGCAGAGGGAGGUCACCUGGCCACACUGACAGCCAUCCUUGCAGUCCACUCACACACACUCGACCAGACUGAUAAAGAAGGAAACACACCGUUACACUUGGCUGUCUGCGCUAACAAGCCAGAGGUGGUGAGUCAGCUGAUGACACUCAAUUGUAAGCUGAUAGAGAACAACAGCAAGUGCACACCCAUUGACAUCGCCCUUCACUACAAGUUGUUUGAGGCGUCGCUGGCCCUUGUCACGCAUCCGAGGGGGCCCAAUGAGGUACUGUCAACAUCGAGUCAGAUGAACGGGUGUAUUUGCAUGGCUCUGAUCCGCAUACUGCCCCGGGUGUUUGAGGCAGUGCUGGACCAGGCCAUCGUGAGAGCCAAUGUUAAAGAAACCUCCAAGGAUUUCUUUAUCAAAUACUCAUUCUAUCCAUUUGAGAUGAACAAGGAGCAGCUGGAGGGAGAACGGAUUAGAAAGAAGGAUCCAAAAUUUAGACCACUCCCCCUCUAUGCCUGCAAUGCCAUGGUGGACUGCAGAAGAGUGGAGCUGUUGAUGCAUCCACUCACCCAAACCUUCCUGGAGAUGAAGUGGCGGGCAUAUGGCAAAUACAUCCACUUGUCCUUCCUCAUCAUUUACCUGGUGUUUCUCUUCCUUGUUACCUUUUUUGCCCUUGGAUACCUGGGGCACAGCAUCCAUAUGGUUCCUGCUAACUACACCACCACUUCCAUCUUAUACUCUUCCACCACUCCCUGUACUCCUCAGUUUGUCUAUGAGCCACAGGAACCUUCAGGCUGCAUCUACUUCUCUGCUGUGGCCAUCCUUGUGUUUGCCAUUCUCAACAUUCUCAAGGAAAUGGUGCAGCUUUACCAUCAUAAGUUAAAGUACCUAGCAGAGGGGAUUAAUGUGGUGGAGUGGACCAUGUACCUCACUUCGACUUGCAUGGUCCUGCCAGUCAUUGUGGGUGGUGAAUGGAAGGCCCAACAGUUCAACUCUGCCUCCCUCGCUGUCUUCACUGCCUGGUUCACUUUGCUGCUGUACUUCCAAAGGUUUGAUCGCAUCGGUAUCUACAUUGUCAUGUUUCUGGAGAUCCUGAACACACUCAUCAAAGUCCUGGUCGUCUUCUCUGUCCUCAUCAUCGCCUUCGGCCUUGCCUUCUAUAUUCUCAUGUAUCCUGGCAGCCACUUGUCGUUUUCCUCCGUGCCCAUGUCAGUGAUGCACACGUUUUCUAUGAUGCUUGGCGAGGUGGACUUCCUCAAUAUCUUUGUGUAUCCUUACUUCGGCGAGAGCACCAAGGGGGACCUGCUGCUCUUCCCUGUCACCACUUUUGCACUCCUCCUCAUCUUCAUGAUCCUGAUGCCCAUCCUGCUCAUGAAUCUGCUGAUUGGUCUGGCUGUGGGAGACAUUGAAAGUGUCAAGAAGAAUGCACAGCUGAAGAGAAUCGCCAUGCAGGUGGAGAUGCACACAGACCUGGAGAACAAACUGCCAGAGAUGCUGAUCCAGAGGGUGAACAAGACAGAGGUGCUGGUGUACCCCAACGCAAUGUGUGGCCCCAACUGGAUCCAUCGCAUACUGAGUGCUCUCAAAUUUGCCAGCCCCAUGAGCUCCAGCAAUGAUAUUCUGAGGCACAGGAGAGCAAGAGUGCUGAGGAGUACCUGUGGGAGGAAAUAGAGGACCAGAAGAAGCACCUCAAGAACAUGUCAGGGGUGCUGGACCAACAGACCAAGCUGCUGCGUCUCAUUGUCCAGAAGAUGGAGAUCCGCAGUGAGGCAGACGAGUGUGACGAGGGCGUGUCCCUGGAGGAGAUCAUCCGUGCGCCGUCCAUCACUCGCAGGUUCCAUUCAUCAUCAUCUGCAGUGAGGAGGAUGCCACUGCCCAAGAAGG
rnacentral:misc_RNA from 1 species